rnacentral:rRNA from 1 species
GUAGGUGGCAAGCGUUGUCCGGAAUUAUUGGGCGUAAAGCGCGCGCAGGUGGUUCUUUAAGUCUGAUGUGAAAGCCCCCGGCUCAACCGGGGAGGGUCAUUGGAAACUGGGGAACUUGAGUGCAGGAGAGGAAAGUGGAAUUCCACGUGUAGCGGUGAAAUGCGUAGAUAUGUGGAGGAACACCAGUGGCGAAGGCGACUUUCUGGCUUGUAACUGACACUGAGGCGCGAAAGCGUGGGGAGCGAAACAGGGAUUAGAUACCCUGGUAGUCCACGCCGUAAACGAUGAGUGCUAAGUGUUGGGGGGGGUUUCCCGCCCCGUUCAGUGCUGCAGCUAACGCAUUAAGCACUCCGCCUGGGGAUACGGUCGCAAGACUG